rnacentral:rRNA from 1 species
GUAGUCCACGCUGUAAACGGUGGGUACUAGGUGUGGGGUCCAUUCCACGGAUUCUGUGCCGUAGCUAACGCAUUAAGUACCCCGCCUGGGGAGUACGGCCGCAAGGCUAAAACUCAAAGGAAUUGACGGGGCCCCGCACAAGCGGCGGAGCAUGCGGAUUAAUUCGAUGCAACGCGAAGAACCUUACCUGGGUUUGACAUGGAUCGGGAGCUUCCAGAGAUGGUUGUGCCUCUUUUGGGGUCGGUUCACAGGUGGUGCAUGGCUGUCGUCAGCUCGUGUCGUGAGAUGUUGGGUUAAGUCCCGCAACGAGCGCAACCCUCGUCCACUGUUGCCAGCAAUUCGGUUGGGGACUCAGUGGAGACCGCCGGGGUCAACUCGGAG